AUGGGUUAUCAUACUAACGCGUGUGCAUCGUUUAUUCAACUAGAUUAUAACCAGGAAGCCACAAAGGAAAUACCUAAAAUAGCAAUUGAUUGAGUCUUUGUAAUUCUACAAUUACUGCCGGUAUGUUGGGGUUUUGUAUACAAAAUUGUAGUAACGUUACCAUUGGACGACGAGUUAGCCAAUGUGUAAUAUGACCCUCAGUCAGACGUGACACUACUGAAUGAGUAAUUGGGUAGAUAUAAACAUUGUAAUCGCCCUCGAUACUGUGAAAUGAUAAAACCUGUUUUGAUUAAACUGGGAUUCACUCACCAGUAUUUCUUGCUGAUAAAAUGUUUUUAAAACGCGUUUCAGGUAACAAAAUGUGAAAGCCAAUCAGAAUAAAGCCAGCUCGAGAGCACUGACGGCUUGGAAAAAUGUGGCUAUAAAAGUUACCUAAAAGACGAUGUUUUAAAUUCAAUAAAAUAAGGGUUAUCCCUAUAAACAUGUUGUAAUAAGAAUCUUGGGUUUUACCCAUGUGAUUAUGAAAAUAAAAUAUGGUGGUUUUACUCUGAUAAAAUAUUUCCUAACUACGAUCCUGAUGAAAUUUCCGCUGCCAAAAUAAUUAAUAAACACCGAUACCACCGAAACUGGUUCGCGGCCGCCCGUUCCCGGGUAUUAGGGAUCGGGGGUUGUGACAGCACCCUUAACCGUGAACCAGCAGGUGGUUGCUGGAGCCGGUGCUGGAGUUGCUGUUGCCAUUUUGGCCACCCCAACUAAGUUAGUCAAGUGCAGGUCAGUCCAUUUUUUUCAAUAAUUAGUUUCUUUUAAGUCAAUUUUAAAACCAGCGUAGGAGAUGGAGCCGGGUGGCAGUAUAAGAGCCGAAAGGACAUGUUUUGAUGACUUUUGAUUGAAGUUUCAUAGUUUUUCAGACAACCAAUGGCGGAUGUAGCAAAGGACUUAACCGCCGGAACAAUAGGAGGGGCGGCACAGUUGAUAGUUGGACACCCUUUUGAUACCAUCAAGGUCAAACUUCAAAGUCAACCCGUCCCUCCACCGGGUCAGCUCCCUAGAUAUUCUGGUGCAAUAGAUGCCGUUAAACAAACAAUAGCAGCAGAAGGUCCAAG
rnacentral:lncRNA from 1 species